GGCGCACCAGGGGCCUGGCGACAAGACGACACGCCGCGGAAAAGCCACUGAGGACACGAGAAGAAGGCAGCCAUCCCCAAGCAGGAAGAGACACUCCACAGGAACUGAACUUGCCACCACCCUGAUCUCGAACUUCUAGUUUCCGUAACUAUGAGUUAUAGCAGAAGGUACACUUGUGUUCAAGACAACUCGGCAAAGCCUGUGGUGAAGAGCGACAGUGAGAGAGAGG